rnacentral:rRNA from 1 species
GGGUUGUGAGGUUAAGCGACUAAGCGUACACGGUGGAUGCCCUGGCAGUCAGAGGCGAUGAAGGGCGUGCUAAUCUGCGAUAAGCGCCGGUAAGGUGAUAUGAACCGUUAUAACCGGCGAUACCCGAAUGGGGAAACCCAGUGUGAUUCGUCACACUAUCAUUAACUGAAUCCAUAGGUUAAUGAGGCGAACCGGGGGAACUGAAACAUCUAAGUACCCCGAGGAAAAGAAAUCAACCGAGAUUCCCCCAGUAGCGGCGAGCGAACGGGGAGGAGCCCAGAGCCUGAAUCAGCAUGUGUGUUAGUGGAAGCGUCUGGAAAGGCGCGCGAUACAGGGUGACAGCCCCGUACACAAAAGCGUAUGUGCUGUGAGCUCGAUGAGUAGGGCGGGACACGUGGUAUCCUGUCUGAAUAUGGGGGGACCAUCCUCCAAGGCUAAAUACUCCUGACUGACCGAUAGUGAACCAGUACCGUGAGGGAAAGGCGAAAAGAACCCCGGCGAGGGGAGUGAAAAAGAACCUGAAACCGUGUACGUACAAGCAGUGGGAGCACCCUUUGGGGUGUGACUGCGUACCUUUUGUAUAAUGGGUCAGCGACUUAUAUUCUGUAGCAAGGUUAACCGAAUAGGGGAGCCGGAGGGAAACCGAGUCUUAAUUGGGCGUUAAGUUGCAGGGUAUAGACCCGAAACCCGGUGAUCUAGCCAUGGGCAGGUUGAAGGUUGGGUAACACUAACUGGAGGACCGAACCGACUAAUGUUGAAAAAUUAGCGGAUGACCUGUGGCUGGGGGUGAAAGGCCAAUCAAACCGGGAGAUAGCUGGUUCUCCCCGAAAGCUAUUUAGGUAGCGCCUCGUGAAUUCAUCUCCGGGGGUAGAGCACUGUUUCGGCUAGGGGGUCAUCCCGACUUACCAACCCGAUGCAAACUGCGAAUACCGGAGAAUGUUAUCACGGGAGACACACGGCGGGUGCUAACGUCCGUCGUGAAGAGGGAAACAACCCAGACCGCCAGCUAAGGUCCCAAAGUCAUGGUUAAGUGGGAAACGAUGUGGGAAGGCACAGACAGCCAGGAUGUUGGCUUAGAAGCAGCCAUCAUUUAAAGAAAGCGUAAUAGCUCACUGGUCGAGUCGGCCUGCGCGGAAGAUGUAACGGGGCUAAACCAUGCACCGAAGCUGCGGCAGCGACACUCAGGUGUUGUUGGGUAGGGGAGCGUUCUGUAAGCCUGUGAAGGUGGCCUGUGAGGGUUGCUGGAGGUAUCAGAAGUGCGAAUGCUGACAUAAGUAACGAUAAAGCGGGUGAAAAGCCCGCUCGCCGGAAGACCAAGGGUUCCUGUCCAACGUUAAUCGGGGCAGGGUGAGUCGACCCCUAAGGCGAGGCCGAAAGGCGUAGUCGAUGGGAAACGGGUUAAUAUUCCCGUACUUGGUGUUACUGCGAAGGGGGGACGGAGAAGGCUAUGUUGGCCGGGCGACGGUUGUCCCGGUUUAAGCGUGUAGGUGUGUGUUCCAGGUAAAUCCGGUUCACUUUAACACUGAGGCGUGACGACGAGGCACUACGGUGCUGAAGCAACAAAUGCCCUGCUUCCAGGAAAAGCCUCUAAGCAUCAGGUAACAUCAAAUCGUACCCCAAACCGACACAGGUGGUCAGGUAGAGAAUACCAAGGCGCUUGAGAGAACUCGGGUGAAGGAACUAGGCAAAAUGGUGCCGUAACUUCGGGAGAAGGCACGCUGACACGUAGGUGAAGUGAUUUACUCAUGGAGCUGAAGUCAGUCGAAGAUACCAGCUGGCUGCAACUGUUUAUUAAAAACACAGCACUGUGCAAACACGAAAGUGGACGUAUACGGUGUGACGCCUGCCCGGUGCCGGAAGGUUAAUUGAUGGGGUCAGCGCAAGCGAAGCUCCUGAUCGAAGCCCCGGUAAACGGCGGCCGUAACUAUAACGGUCCUAAGGUAGCGAAAUUCCUUGUCGGGUAAGUUCCGACCUGCACGAAUGGCGUAAUGAUGGCCAGGCUGUCUCCACCCGAGACUCAGUGAAAUUGAACUCGCUGUGAAGAUGCAGUGUACCCGCGGCAAGACGGAAAGACCCCGUGAACCUUUACUAUAGCUUGACACUGAACAUUGAGCCUUGAUGUGUAGGAUAGGUGGGAGGCUUUGAAGCGUGGACGCCAGUCUGCAUGGAGCCGACCUUGAAAUACCACCCUUUAAUGUUUGAUGUUCUAACGUGGACCCGUGAUCCGGGUUGCGGACAGUGUCUGGUGGGUAGUUUGACUGGGGCGGUCUCCUCCUAAAGAGUAACGGAGGAGCACGAAGGUUGGCUAAUCCUGGUCGGACAUCAGGAGGUUAGUGCAAUGGCAUAAGCCAGCUUGACUGCGAGCGUGACGGCGCGAGCAGGUGCGAAAGCAGGUCAUAGUGAUCCGGUGGUUCUGAAUGGAAGGGCCAUCGCUCAACGGAUAAAAGGUACUCCGGGGAUAACAGGCUGAUACCGCCCAAGAGUUCAUAUCGACGGCGGUGUUUGGCACCUCGAUGUCGGCUCAUCACAUCCUGGGGCUGAAGUAGGUCCCAAGGGUAUGGCUGUUCGCCAUUUAAAGUGGUACGCGAGCUGGGUUUAGAACGUCGUGAGACAGUUCGGUCCCUAUCUGCCGUGGGCGCUGGAGAACUGAGGGGGCUGCUCCUAGUACGAGAGGACCGGAGUGGACGCAUCACUGGUGUUCGGGUUGUCAUGCC